rnacentral:lncRNA from 1 species
UAAAAGAGAAUUUUAAAAUAAUAAUUUUAUAAAAAACAAAGUAAAAUUAUCAAAGUAAUUCAAAAUAUAUACAAACAAUUAAAAAAUGAAUGUUAACUGAAUUUUAAAAAUAAUGAAUUAUAUAAAUUAAAAAGACUCAAUUAAAAUAAAAUUAAACUAAAAGAGAUACUUAAUAAAUAAAAUAAACCAUUGAAAUUGAAAAAAGGACUAAAGCGCAAUGCGCGCGAAUGCUCAGGGAUCAAAACUAGAAAUAUUCUAGCUCCCAAAACACAGCGUUUAAACGCGGACCAAAUUGAAUAUAUGCGUGAAUUACAGAGAUUAAUUAAAAACAGAGAAAAAAAAUAAGGCCUAAUUGAAUGACCAUGCAAAAGGGAGGGAUCAAUUGCGCAAAUGUUCCCUUUAAGCAGAACACGCGGAUCCUCCUGGGUAACCGGAUCGGGUCGGAUCGAGCAUGGCCUAUACAGUACCGUUUUAGAGCCAUUGAAAUAGGCUUAAAAUGGCACCGUUUUUGCUCCUUUAUAAAGGCUAAAAUCAAGCCAAAUUCGGUCGAACUAAACCCUAUCCCCUUUUGACUCUCCUUCAACCGAUCCCUAAUCUCAUUUUUAAACACCAGUCUACCAUUAUCAAAGUGACUUAAAGGAUUCAGACCUUGAAAGAUGCCAUUCUCGGCCAGGAAAUCCCUUCCACGCUCCAAUUUCAACGAAGCAGAUGAAAUCUCUUAGCGUAUUCAUAAGGUAAAGCUCUUGUUUUCUCUUUGUUUUUCCAAUACAUAUAAACUCUAAUGAAAGACUAAUAGAACCGAAAGAGAAAAGAAAAAUUAAAGAAUAUUUGAAUCAAAAAUCACCUUUUCAAUUUUGAUUGCUUUCUUUUCAAUAUGCGUGUGUUUUUCAAUACAUUGUUGUACUUGGCUUUUUAUAGCCAAAAUGUAAAAUCAAAUACACGUUUCUUUUUUUGCUUUCUCCUUUGCUGUAUUCUGUUGUGGUUUGUUAAUUUGUUACAGGAGGAGCCAGCUGGAGGUGGUGGCUCACGUGGAGACCGAUUCCAUGCGAGGCUGCGGCGCAAACUAGUCCUUGGGUUUCAGCUCUUGAAACCGAAGUUUGGGUCAUUUGGGUCCGUGAUUUGGGCCAUUGUAAUAGGCUGUUAAUUUUGUUAGGGAUUUGGGUUUAUUGUUGAGCUAAUAAAUGUAAAUGGAAUGGACUUUUAAAUUUGGACCUUUUAUUUGUUUUUUUAUUUUUGUUUUUAAAUUUUUUUGGGGUUUAUUUCGGGCUGGGCAAAUUGGGUUUACUACAUGGUCAUUUUUGACAUUUUUACAAAAUUACCCCUAAGUUUUACUUUUAUUAAAUUUAGUCCCUG